UUUGGCACACAGUAACAUGGAAACGGGUUGACUGCCGUGGAACCCAACCCUUCUUUCAAAUAGUGUCAUUUAUAUUUGUGGAUAGAUCGCCGAAAUAUGUGCACAUCAUACCCAGCAGCCAGGUACGAAGAACAAAACCGGGCUGCUUUCCACGUGUUCCGAGUUAGGCACAAGGGUGAGGGUCCAUAGUAUACCUUUUUUAUUACUGCCGUCAUUUACUGAGCUGCUUGGGUUGUGAGGGCACACCGGAGCCGUGCUGCCUUCAGUGAACGAUUUCUUCAAGGGAAGGGAAGGGGAAAAGCGAUCGGAGAUGGCAGAAUGGUAGUGACGCAGAAUACGCUGUUUUGACGCACCUGACGGCCUGUGCAAGAUAUAGCUACGUAGUCCUUUCUUGUCUGCUGUUAGUUCCUAUUAUUAUAACUGUUUGAAUAUGUUACUGAUCUGAAAAUUGUA